rnacentral:tRNA from 2 species
CGGGGCGUAGCGCAGCCCGGUAGCGCACUUGACUGGGGGUCAAGGGGUCGCUGGUUCGAAUCCAGUCGCCCCGACCA